UACGAAGGGGGCUAGCGUUGUUCGGAAUCACUGGGCGUAAAGGGCGCGUAGGCGGCUUUGUAAGUCGGGGGUGAAAGCCUGUGGCUCAACCACAGAAUUGCCUUCGAUACUGCAUGGCUUGAGACCGGAAGAGGUAAGUGGAACUGCGAGUGUAGAGGUGAAAUUCGUAGAUAUUCGGAAGAACACCAGUGGCGAAGGCGACACACUGGCCCGUUACUGACGCUGAGGCGCGAAAGCGUGGGGAGCAAACAGG
rnacentral:rRNA from 1 species